GACGAACGCUGGCGGCGUGCUUAACACAUGCAAGUCGAACGGAAAGGCCCUGCUUUUGUGGGGUGCUCGAGUGGCGAACGGGUGAGUAACACGUGAGUAACCUGCCCUUGACUUUGGGAUAACUUCAGGAAACUGGGGCUAAUACCGUAUAGGAGCUCCUGCUGCAUUGUGGGGGUUGGAAAUUUUCGGCGGUUGGGGAUGGACUCGCGGCUUAUCAGCUUGUUGGUUGGGUAGUGGCUUACCAAGGCUUUGAAGGGUAGCCGGCCUGAGAGGGUGAACGGGCACAUGGGGACUGAGAGAGGGCCCAGACGCGUACGGGAGGCAGCAGUGGGGAAUAUUGCACAGUGGGCGGGAGCCUGAGGCAGCAACGCCGCGGGCGGGAUGACGGCCUUCGGGUUGUAAACCGCUUUCGCCUGUGACGAAGCGUGAGUGACGGUAAUGGGUAAAGAAGCACCGGCUAACUACGUG
rnacentral:rRNA from 1 species